UGCUUUUGUGUAUGCUCAGCAGGGAUCUGGUAAAAAUUAAACUGAGGCUAAUGAAGCUCCAAGCCCCCGCAUAACGCCACAGAGGGAGGAAGACUGAAUAUUGCCUGCUAUGAGGCAAACUGCUUAAGGAGCUUUGUGAAAGUCUCACUGAAACCAACUUAGCAAAUGCUCCUGUCCCAAAGCCUUUAUGAUGAUCAUCUCCAAUCAGAUAAUGUUCCUGCCACCAUGGAGCUAGGUGCCACUCCAGUGCAUGCGAAGUCACCUCGGUGAGGUGUUAACUUGAAAGUCAAGGGAGACUAGUAAGUGGGUCUUAUUAAACAAUCCAGGACUCUAGGCUCUCGUUGAUCCCCGUGUGGGUGCUAGGCAUGUAGAUGGUUCAUUAGAAGACUCACCCGUUUGCUUUUCUGAGCCCAGUUGUGUAUUUUUUGUAAACCCAGGCAGCUUCCAGCAAAACGGAAGUUUUGGUUUCCUGCCUUUUCUGUGGCUUGCAACCAUAUUCAAGCCUUUCCUGGAGGAUUUGCAGAGCCUCCCACCAUAGAAAUCUCCCAAGUGCUGGCCUUCCUGAGACCAGAGCUCAUGCAUCAUUGUCACCAGAUUUAUCCCCUGUGUUCUAUUCCCUCUAGGUCUUUUCUGGAGACUUGCUUGCUAAUUUCAGAUAGAAGGAAGUGACAUGGUAUGAAGUUUAUGCAAAACUAGUAUAUGCUAGGAUGGCAGUUUUGAAACAGGUAUUGCAAGAGUAUUAAGAACAGGAUGUUAAAAAAUGUGAUCAGUUCUGGCACUGAUUACAAAACAAUAGGUGCCACCUACUCCCAAGUUCUGGACCACCAAGGUGGGGAUUGUAAAAGGGUUGUCUGAGAACUAGGUUUGUAACCCUUAGCUGCCUAUCAGACCUGAGGGGGAGACCUAAAAGGAGAUGAAUGAAUGACAUACUGUCUCUUUGGUAGGACUGUGCAUUCAUUGGUGGAAGGUCCUACCCUUGCCAUUUCUUUCUUGCCUUGUAAGAUGCAUUGCCCCAGAGGAUACCAUGAACAAGGACUGACAAAAGCAAAGAAUACAGCCAAGGCAGUGAGCAAAGUGUCAUUUUAGGAGGUUGAGGAUGCUGAUUUUAUUUGAAUGUCGGUCAGCAAUCCUACAGUAACCUGACUC
rnacentral:lncRNA from 10 species